CCUACGGGGGGCAGCAGUGGGGAAUAUUGGACAAUGGGGGGAACCCUGAUCCAGCCAUGCCGCGUGUGUGAAGAAGGCCCUCGGGUUGUAAAGCACUUUCAGUGAGGAAGAACGCCUGGUGGUUAAUACCCAUCAGGAAAGACAUCACUCACAGAAGAAGCACCGGCUAACUCCGUGCCAGCAGCCGCGGUAAUACGGAGGGUGCGAGCGUUAAUCGGAAUUACUGGGCGUAAAGCGCGCGUAGGUGGCUUGAUAAGCCGGUUGUGAAAGCCCCGGGCUCAACCUGGGAACGGCAUCCGGAACUGUCAAGCUAGAGUGCAGGAGAGGAAGGUAGAAUUCCCGGUGUAGCGGUGAAAUGCGUAGAGAUCGGGAGGAAUACCCGUGGCGAAGGAGGCCUUCUGGACUGACACUGACACUGAGGUGCGAAAGCGUGGGUAGCAAACAGGAUUAGAUACCCUUGUAGUC
rnacentral:rRNA from 1 species